UGCGUAGGCGGAUUAAUAAGUCAGCGGUGAAAACCUUCAGCUUAACUGGAGACUUGCCAUUGAUACUGUUAGUCUUGAGUAUGGUUAAGGUAGGCGGAAUGUGUAAUGUAGCGGUGAAAUGCUUAGAUAUUACACAGAACACCAAUUGCGAAGGCAGCUUACUGAGCCAUAACUGCCGCUGAUGCACGAAAGCGUGGGGAGCGAACAGGAUUAGAUACCCUGGUAGUCC
rnacentral:rRNA from 1 species